UACAGAGGUCCCAAGCGUUGUUCGGAUUCACUGGGCGUAAAGGGUGCGUAGGUGGCUGCGUAAGUCGGGUGUGAAAUCCCGGGGCUCAACCCCGGAACUGCACUCGAUACUGCGUGGCUUGAGUACUGGAGAGGAGAUUGGAAUUUACGGUGUAGCAGUGAAAUGCGUAGAUAUCGUAAGGAAGACCAGUGGCGAAGGCGGAUCUCUGGACAGUUACUGACACUGAGGCACGAAGGCCAGGGGAGCAAACGGG
rnacentral:rRNA from 1 species